UUUGAUCAUUCUUGCUCCCCAAGAUGAAUUCCAGCCAUUAGAUGAGAUCCAAAGGAGUUGAUCUUGGCCGUCCAAAUUAGUAUAAAAGAAGCCCAAAAACUCUCUUCUUUCUCUGCAAGUUACUUCUCCUUCUCCUUUGAUUUUCCUCUCGGUCCAGUGGCUAAGAUAGCAAGAAGAGAGCUAUUAAACUUUCUCUUCUAGGAAAACAGAAAAAAAAAAAAAAAAAAAAAAAUCCAGCCCUCUUUCAUCUUUGUUUCGGUUCAGCAAGGAAAGAAAGAAAGCAGAAUCUCUUCUCAAAGCUUUCUUCUCUCCCUCCGUUACGAGUAGACAGCAACUAAAAGGAAAGGAAACCAAGAAAUUUCCGGAUUUUUGGGUGUUGUAAAAGGUAGCUAAAAUACUGCUCAGAAAAUACCAGAUGACACUGUAGACCGGAGUAUUUUCUUUAUGGAUGGCAUAGACCACACCCUAAGAGCAAUAGAUCGAUAAAGACCGGUUUAACUUUUGUAUUGUACAUAUUUAUUUUGAAUUCCUAGAAAAAUGAUGUAAUAAUUAAAGAACUAAUAUGUAUAUGUUCUUAUAAUGAAAUAUAGCCAUGCGCUAUUCCUGGGAAA